rnacentral:ncRNA from 2 species
CUUUAUUUUUACCUUCGAGCCCUGGAACCUGUGACAUCAUGGUAUGGUUCCCCGGCCGACAGGGUUUACCUGGAAGCGGGUAAGCCUCCCCCUUUGGAAGGGAUCGAUCAUAGUGAAG